GCGUCCAAGCUGUUAGGGUCGCUCCCUACGGCGCAUGCGCUGUGGCUCACCCACGCCGUAGGUCUUGCUAUGGGUUUAUUAAGAAAACGCAAACGCGCGUGAGGCGUGGGGCGUGGGGCGUGGAGGACAACUAACUAGGCUGACCUGUAAAAGCAGAGGAAAUUGGAACCUGGAAAGUUCUGAAGUGCUUCGGAACAAGAACAAAACCCUAAUUAUUCAUAUAUGCAGAAAGGCUAAGAAAGUGUGUUAGACUGGCAACACUGGAUAAGAAAUCAAAAUCCCACAG
rnacentral:lncRNA from 1 species